GGCCUAACACAUGCAAGUCGAACGAGAAGCCACCUUCGGGUGGUGGACAGUGGCAGACGGGUGAGUAACGCGUGGGAACGUGCCUUUCGGUUCGGGAUAACCCAGGGAAACUUGGGCUAAUACCGGAUACGCCCUUCGGGGGAAAGAUUCAUCGCCGAAAGAUCGGCCCGCGUCGGAUUAGCUAGUUGGUGGGGUAAUGGCCUACCAAGGCGACGAUCCGUAGCUGGUCUGAGAGGAUGACCAGCCACACUGGGACUGAGACACGGCCCAGACUCCUACGGGAGGCAGCAGUGGGGAAUAUUGGACAAUGGGCGAAAGCCUGAUCCAGCCAUGCCGCGUGGGUGAAGAAGGCCUUAGGGUUGUAAACCCCUUUCAGCGGGGAAGAUAAUGACGGUACCCGCAGAAGAAGUCCCGGCUAACUCCGUGCCAGCAGCCGCGGUAAUACGGAGGGGACUAGCGUUGUCCGGAAU
rnacentral:rRNA from 1 species